GACGAACGCUGGCGGCGUGCUUAACACAUGCAAGUCGAACGGAAAGGCCCUGCUUUUGUGGGGUGCUCGAGUGGCGAACGGGUGUGUAACACGUGAGUAACCUGCCCUUGACUUUGGGAUAACUUCAGGAAACUGGGGCUAAUACCGGAUAGGAGCUCCUGCUGCAUGGUGGGGGUUGGAAAGUUUCGGCGGUUGGGGAUGGACUCGCGGCUUAUCAGCUUGUUGGUGGGGUAGUGGCUUACCAAGGCUUUGACCGGUAGCCGGCCUGAGAGGGUGACCGGACACAUUGGGAAUGAGAUGCGGCCCAGACUCCUACGGGAGGCGGCAGUGGGGAAUAGUGCACAAUGGGCGGAAGCCUGAUGCAGCAACGCCGCGUGCGGGAUGACGGCAUUCGGGUUGUAAACCGCUUUCGCCUGUGACGAAGCGUGAGUGACGGUAAUGGGUAAAGAAGCACCGGCUAACUACGUG
rnacentral:rRNA from 1 species